GAUUCAUAGUCAAAAGGGCAACAGCCCAGAUCGUCAGCUAAGGUCCCUAAAUGUACGUUAAGUGGUAAAGGAUGUGGGAUUGCACAGACAACCAGGAUGUUGGCUUAGAAGCAGCCACUCAUUUAAAGAGUGCGUAAUAGCUCACUGGUCGAGUGAUCCUGCGCCGAAAAUUUCCGGGGCUAAAACGUACUACCGAAGCUACGGCAUCAUUUAUGAUGGGUAGGGGAGCUUCGUAUGCAGGCUGAAGCAUGACCGUAAGGACAUGUGGACAGUAUACGAGUGAGAAUGUUGGCAUGAGUAGCGAGACGUGGGUGAGAAUCCCACGGGCCGUAAACCCAAGGUUUCCAGGGGAAGGUUCGUCCGCCCUGGGUUAGUCGGGACCUAAGCCGAGGCCGAAAGGCGUAGGUGAUGGACAACAGGUUGAUAUUCCUGUACCGCCAAUAAGCGUUUGAGAGAUGGAGUGACACAGUAGGAUAAGCUAACCGUACUGUUGGUUAUGUACGGCUAAGCAUUGAGGCAGUCUAAAUAGGCAAAUCCGUUUAGACAAUGCUAGGAUGUGAUGGGGAAGCCCUUCGGGGCGAAGUAGCUGAUUUCACACUGUCAAGAAAAGCUUCUAUCGAGUUUAAAGGCGCCCGUACCGUAAACCGACACAGGUGGGUGAGGAGAGUAUCCUAAGGCCAGCGAGAGAACUAUUGUUAAGGAACUCGGCAAAAUGACCCCGUAACUUAGGGAGAAGGGGUGCCUGUCUAUGACAGGCCGCAGAGAAUAGGCCCAAGCGACUGUUUACCAAAAACACAGGUUUCUGCUAAGUCGCAAGACGAUGUAUAGGAGCUGACGCCUGCCCGGUGCUGGAAGGUUAAGGGGAUCUGUUAGAGCAAUCGAAGCAGUGAACUUAAGCCCCAGUAAACGGCGGCCGUAACUAUAACGGUCCUAAGGUAGCGAAAUUCCUUGUCGGGUAAGUUCCGACCCGCACGAAAGGCGUAACGAUUUGGGCACUGUCUCAACAAUAGACUCGGUGAAAUUGUAAUCCCGGUGAAGAUGCCGGGUACCUGCGACAGGACGGAAAGACCCCAUGGAGCUUUACUGUAGCUUGACGUUGGGUCUUGGUACUACAUGUACAGGAUAGGUGGGAGACUAUGAAGCAUGGACGCCAGUCUGUGUGGAGUCAUCCUUGGGAUACCACCCUUGUAGUACUGGGAUCCUAACCAUAGGCCUUGAAUCAGGUCUUGGAACACCGUCAGGUGGGCAGUUUGACUGGGGCGGUCGCCUCCUAAAAAGUAACGGAGGCGCUCAAAGGUUUCCUCAGCACGGUCGGAAAUCGUGCGAAGAGUGUAAAGGCAAAAGGAAGCUUGAUUGCAAGACAUACAGGUCGAGCAAGGACGAAAGUCGGACUUAGUGAUC
rnacentral:rRNA from 1 species